UACAGAGGUCUCAAGCGUUGUUCGGAUUCAUUGGGCGUAAAGGGAGCGUAGGUGGCGGGGUAAGUCAGGUGUGAAAUCUCGGGGCUCAACCCCGAAACUGCACUUGAUACUGCCUUGCUCGAGUACUGGAGAGGAGAUUGGAAUUUACGGUGUAGCAGUGAAAUGCGUAGAUAUCGUAAGGAAGACCAGUGGCGAAGGCGAAUCUCUGGACAGUUACUGACACUGAGGCUCGAAGGCCAGGGGAGCAAACGGG
rnacentral:rRNA from 1 species